CUUAAACAUGAGGCUUUAAAAGGAAAGAAGAGCGAGGGGAGUGGUGUGAAGAAGACAUGAAGCUUAAGAACAUGGCAAUAGCCGUACUGGAUGAAAAAGCUGACUGCCUCUGGAAACAGCUGAGAAAAGACUGGAAGCCCAAGGCAAAGACAGCAGCAAAUUCUGGUGUUUUCCCAACACUUUCUCCCAGCUCUCAGUAAUCAGAAGACCUGGAACUUUCUGAGCUUUCCCAGGAGUGGUGUGGUGAGCUUACAGGCUGCUGGAGUUGUUGCAAAAGCCCCGAUUCACCAAAGUGGUGAUCCCCACCGAUUUUUGACGGCAGUACAGGGAGCGAUGGCUCUUCAUGAAGGAGGAAUGAUCUGCUAUGAUUGCACAGGUCAGUGCAGCAGGAUGCCACGGGGCCCUGUGCCACGUUCACUGAGGAUGCAGUGAGCACUUCAGUACUGUGACUGCUCUUUGUGAAACUCGGGCAAACGCAUGACCCAUUGCCAACACAGCAGGUGAUUUGAGACUAAACAAGGAAGCAGUGAUGCUACCAGAUUUCCAUUAACAAGCAAGAAACAUGCGAGUCCAAAGUUUCAUCUGCAUCUCCACUUGUGACCAUCGCAUAUAAACACAAUGGCAUUCAGUGAAGCGCUAGAAGUAAAGCAGUUGUGUUUGUUCUCAGA